UGGGGAAUAUUGCGCAAUGGGGGAAACCCUGACGCAGCAACGCCGCGUGAAGGAAGAAGGCCUUCGGGUUGUAAACUUUUUUGAUUGGGGAAGAUACAAGACGGUACCCAAAAAACAAGCCACGGCUAACUACGUGCCAGCAGCCGCGGUAAUACGUAGGUGGCAAGCGUUAUCCGGAUUUACUGGGUGUAAAGGGAGCGUAGGCGGGACUUUAAGUCAGAUGUGAAAUGCUGGGGCUCAACCCCAGAGCUGCAUUUGAAACUGGAGUUCUUGAGUGUCGGAGAGGUAAGUGGAAUUCCUAGUGUAGCGGUGAAAUGCGUAGAUAUUAGGAGGAACACCAGUGGCGAAGGCGACUUACUGGACGAUAACUGACGCUGAGGCUCGAAAGUGUGGGGAGCAAACA
rnacentral:rRNA from 1 species